GUAGGUGAACCUGCGGAAGGAUCAUUAACGAGUUUUUGAAAGGGGUUGUAGCUGGCCAAAAACAAAGGCAUGUGCACACCCUGCUCAAUUCCACUCUCACACCCCUGUGCACUUACUGUAGGCUAUGGUCGGAUAGCUGACUUCGGUUGGUUUGAAAGCCUUGCUUAUGUUAUUACAAACGCUUCAGUUAAAGAAUGUCAUACCGCGUAUAACGCAUUAAAUACAACUUUCAACAACGGAUCUCUUGGCU
rnacentral:misc_RNA from 1 species